ACUUCCUGAGCCGGAACGAAAAGCAGUUUGAAAUUGGGGCGGAAACGCCGGAUUUUGAAGGGCUUUUGGCUUGUGGUCGUGAUGUUGUGUUUGCAUUUGAUCUGACGCUUUUCAGAUCUGAUAGCCUGGCUAUCUUUUAUUCCUGUAGAUUUACCCUGUCUGUCCAUAGUGAUUAAUAGCACCGCAAAUUGCGGUGCUUUUUUUU
rnacentral:other from 1 species